AUUGAACGCUGGCGGCAGGCCUAACACAUGCAAGUCGAGCGGUAGCACAGGAGAGCUUGCUCUCCGGGUGACGAGCGGCGGACGGGUGAGUAAUGUCUGGGAAACUGCCUGAUGGAGGGGGAUAACUACUGGAAAUGGUAGCUAAUACCGCAUAACGUCGCAAGACCAAAGAGGGGGACCUUCGGGCCUCUUGCCAUCAGAUGUGCCCAGAUGGGAUUAGCUAGCAGGUGGGGUAACGGCUCACCUAGGCGACGAUCCCUAGCUGGUCUGAGAGGAUGACCAGCCACACUGGAACUGAGACACGGUCCAGACUCCUACGGGAGGCAGCAGUGGGGAAUAUUGCACAAUGGGCGCAAGCCUGAUGCAGCCAUGCCGCGUGUAUGAAGAAGGCCUUCGGGUUGUAAAGUACUUUCAGCGGGGAGGAAGGUGUUGUGGUUAAUAACCACAGCAAUUGACGUUACCCGCAGAAGAAGCACCGGCUAACUCCGUGCCAGCCGCCGCAGUAAAAC
rnacentral:rRNA from 1 species